CCCUAUGGGGUGCAGCAGGCUCUGACUCUAAUCUUCCCUUUCCGGCAGCAGAGGGAGCGGUAUUGAGACGGGAAAAUGGUACGGUGGUCAUAUCCUGAUACCUUAAAUGUCUUUUUUUCAUGUGACAAGAGAGUCGGACAUACCGCUGGUGGGAUGUCUGUACUUCGGAGUGGUGGAUCGAGGGAGCAAUCUCCUGCAGAUAAGGCCGAGCUGCGGCUGCAACUUAAGCUGCCCCUUCUGCUCGGUUGAUGCCGGUCCCAGCUCGAGGUCAAGGGUGACAGACUAUCAGGUGGACCUGGACUAUCUGAUGGAGGCGGUUCGGGAGAUAGCUCCCGUCAAGGGACCCGGGGUGGAGUGCCAUAUCGACUCCCCUGGAGAGC
rnacentral:rRNA from 1 species